rnacentral:misc_RNA from 1 species
GGACGAAUAUGCUGAUGCUUUAACUCAGCUUGGAUUUGACUUUGAAGUCUUGGCAGAGCAGGAAGGAGAUGCUGCCCUAGGUAAUGGCGGCCUAGCUCGCCUUGCAGCUUGUCAAAUGGACUCCCUAGCGACAUUGGACUAUCCAGCUUGGGGUUAUGGAUUACGCUAUCAAUAUGGAUUAUUUCGUCAGAUCAUAGUGGAUGGUUUUCAACACGAAC